rnacentral:rRNA from 1 species
GGGUUGUGAGGUUAAGCGACUAAGCGUACACGGUGGAUGCCCUGGCAGUCAGAGGCGAUGAAGGACGUGCUAAUCUGCGAUAAGCGUCGGUGAGGUGAUAUGAACCGUUAUAACCGGCGAUUUCCGAAUGGGGAAACCCAGUGUGUUUCGACACACUAUCAUUAACUGAAUCCAUAGGUUAAUGAGGCGAACCGGGGGAACUGAAACAUCUCAGUACCCCGAGGAAAAGAAAUCAACCGAGAUUCCCCCAGUAGCGGCGAGCGAACGGGGAGGAGCCCAGAGCCUGAAUCAGUGUGUGUGUUAGUGGAAGCGUCUGGAAAGGCGCGCGAUACAGGGUGACAGCCCCGUACACAAAAAUGCACAUACUGUGAGCUCGAUGAGUAGGGCGGGACACGUGGUAUCCUGUCUGAAUAUGGGGGGACCAUCCUCCAAGGCUAAAUACUCCUGACUGACCGAUAGUGAACCAGUACCGUGAGGGAAAGGCGAAAAGAACCCCGGCGAGGGGAGUGAAAAAGAACCUGAAACCGUGUACGUACAAGCAGUGGGAGCCUCUUAAUGGGGUGACUGCGUACCUUUUGUAUAAUGGGUCAGCGACUUAUAUUCUGUAGCAAGGUUAACCGAAUAGGGGAGCCGAAGGGAAACCGAGUCUUAACUGGGCGUUAAGUUGCAGGGUAUAGACCCGAAACCCGGUGAUCUAGCCAUGGGCAGGUUGAAGGUUGGGUAACACUAACUGGAGGACCGAACCGACUAAUGUUGAAAAAUUAGCGGAUGACUUGUGGCUGGGGGUGAAAGGCCAAUCAAACCGGGAGAUAGCUGGUUCUCCCCGAAAGCUAUUUAGGUAGCGCCUCGUGAAUUCAUCUCCGGGGGUAGAGCACUGUUUCGGCAAGGGGGUCAUCCCGACUUACCAACCCGAUGCAAACUGCGAAUACCGGAGAAUGUUAUCACGGGAGACACACGGCGGGUGCUAACGUCCGUCGUGAAGAGGGAAACAACCCAGACCGCCAGCUAAGGUCCCAAAGUCAUGGUUAAGUGGGAAACGAUGUGGGAAGGCCCAGACAGCCAGGAUGUUGGCUUAGAAGCAGCCAUCAUUUAAAGAAAGCGUAAUAGCUCACUGGUCGAGUCGGCCUGCGCGGAAGAUGUAACGGGGCUAAACCAUGCACCGAAGCUGCGGCAGCGACACUAUGUGUUGUUGGGUAGGGGAGCGUUCUGUAAGCCUGUGAAGGUGUACUGUGAGGUAUGCUGGAGGUAUCAGAAGUGCGAAUGCUGACAUAAGUAACGAUAAAGCGGGUGAAAAGCCCGCUCGCCGGAAGACCAAGGGUUCCUGUCCAACGUUAAUCGGGGCAGGGUGAGUCGACCCCUAAGGCGAGGCCGAAAGGCGUAGUCGAUGGGAAACAGGUUAAUAUUCCUGUACUUGGUGUUACUGCGAAGGGGGGACGGAGAAGGCUAUGUUGGCCGGGCGACGGUUGUCCCGGUUUAAGCGUGUAGGCUGGUUUUCCAGGCAAAUCCGGAAAAUCAAGGCUGAGGCGUGAUGACGAGGCACUACGGUGCUGAAGCGACAAAUGCCCUGCUUCCAGGAAAAGCCUCUAAGCAUCAGGUAACAUCAAAUCGUACCCCAAACCGACACAGGUGGUCAGGUAGAGAAUACCAAGGCGCUUGAGAGAACUCGGGUGAAGGAACUAGGCAAAAUGGUGCCGUAACUUCGGGAGAAGGCACGCUGAUAUGUAGGUGAAGCGACUUGCUCGUGGAGCUGAAAUCAGUCGAAGAUACCAGCUGGCUGCAACUGUUUAUUAAAAACACAGCACUGUGCAAACACGAAAGUGGACGUAUACGGUGUGACGCCUGCCCGGUGCCGGAAGGUUAAUUGAUGGGGUUAGCGGUAACGCGAAGCUCUUGAUCGAAGCCCCGGUAAACGGCGGCCGUAACUAUAACGGUCCUAAGGUAGCGAAAUUCCUUGUCGGGUAAGUUCCGACCUGCACGAAUGGCGUAAUGAUGGCCAGGCUGUCUCCACCCGAGACUCAGUGAAAUUGAACUCGCUGUGAAGAUGCAGUGUACCCGCGGCAAGACGGAAAGACCCCGUGAACCUUUACUAUAGCUUGACACUGAACAUUGAGCCUUGAUGUGUAGGAUAGGUGGGAGGCUUUGAAGUGUGGACGCCAGUCUGCAUGGAGCCGACCUUGAAAUACCACCCUUUAAUGUUUGAUGUUCUAACGUGGGCCCCUUACCGGGGUUGCGGACAGUGUCUGGUGGGUAGUUUGACUGGGGCGGUCUCCUCCUAAAGAGUAACGGAGGAGCACGAAGGUUGGCUAAUCCUGGUCGGACAUCAGGAGGUUAGUGCAAUGGCAUAAGCCAGCUUGACUGCGAGCGUGACGGCGCGAGCAGGUGCGAAAGCAGGUCAUAGUGAUCCGGUGGUUCUGAAUGGAAGGGCCAUCGCUCAACGGAUAAAAGGUACUCCGGGGAUAACAGGCUGAUACCGCCCAAGAGUUCAUAUCGACGGCGGUGUUUGGCACCUCGAUGUCGGCUCAUCACAUCCUGGGGCUGAAGUAGGUCCCAAGGGUAUGGCUGUUCGCCAUUUAAAGUGGUACGCGAGCUGGGUUUAGAACGUCGUGAGACAGUUCGGUCCCUAUCUGCCGUGGGCGCUGGAGAACUGAGGGGGGCUGCUCCUAGUACGAGAGGACCGGAGUGGACGCAUCACUGGUGUUCGGGUUGUCAUGCCAAUGGCACUGCCCGGUAGCUAAAUGCGGAAGAGAUAAGUGCUGAAAGCAUCUAAGCACGAAACUUGCCCCGAGAUGAGUUCUCCCUGACUCCUUGAGAGUCCUGAAGGAACGUUGAAGACGACGACGUUGAUAGGCCGGGUGUGUAAGCGCAGCGAUGCGUUGAGCUAACCGGUACUAAUGAACCGUGAGGCUUAACCUUACAACGCCGAAG